rnacentral:rRNA from 1 species
CGUAUAUUAAAGUUGUUGCAGUUAAAAAGCUCGUAGUUGGAUUUGUGGCUGUCGUUGUCUUUUCCUCUCUUUGAGGGGUAUUGGAUUAGCGUCGCCAUCCUUGGGUGGAACCUGUGUGGCAUUAGGUUGUCGUGCAGGGGAUGCCCAUCGUUUACUGUGAAAAAAUUAGAGUGUUCAAAGCAGGCUUAUGCCGUUGAAUAUAUUAGCAUGGAAUAAUAAGAUAGGACCUUGGUACUAUUUUGUUGGUUUGCGCACCAAGGUAAUGAUUAAUAGGGUCAGUUGGGGG